GAUGAACGCUGGCGGCGUGCCUAAUACAUGCAAGUCGAGCGAACGGACGAGAAGCUUGCUUCUCUGACGUUUGCGGCGGACGGGUGAGUAACAUGUGGAUAACCUACCUAUAAGACUGGGAUAACUUCGGGAAACCGGAGCUAAUACCGGAUAAUAUUUUGAACCGUAUGGUUCAAUAGUGAAAGUCGGUCUUGCUGUCACUUAUAGAUGGAUCCGCGCUGCAUUAGCUAGUUGGUAAGGUAACGGCUUACCAAGGCAACGAUGCAUAGCCGACCUGAGAGGGUGAUCGGCCACACUGGAACUGAGACACGGACCAGACGCCUACGGUAGGCAGCAGUAGGGAAUCUUCCGCAAAGGGCGAAAGCCUGACGGAGCAACGCCGCGUGAGUGAUAAAGGUCUUCGGAUCGGAAAACUCUGUUAUUAGGGAAGAACAUAUGUGUAAGUAACUGUGCACAUCUUGACGGUACCUGAUCAGAAAGCCACGGCUAACUACGUG
rnacentral:rRNA from 1 species